UCUCUUUCUCAAGAUCCCUCUUUUGUGAAGCUUUUCAUUGCAAGCUUAAAUCUCCAGAUAUGGAGCUUUGUACACGUGGGUCUGGAUUCUGCAAAACUGCUUUGGGAAGCUUUGAAGGCAAGUACAAAAGAACAAUACUGCUGCUCCCUAGUGCUAUGAUCUGCAAGCCUGAAGAGUCUAAGGGGGCCACUUACGUGAAGGUUUUGAGUUUUCUUGGGCUUCUUCCUACCCCACUUCACAGUCUUUAGAAGAGGUAGCAGGUUUCAGUAUAUGAAUAAAAUAUUUGUGCCCUGCUUCUCCUGUUCCUAAGUUGCUUAAACUGCAAAGUCUGUAAGUGAUUACAAAUUGUGCUGUGCAUCUCUCUCUGUAUAACAAGAAAAGCAGGAAAAGAAUAUGCUUAGCUUAAACCUAAUUUUAUAAUAUUAACAUGCUCUGCAAAAUAAAAAACAUAACAUCAAAUGCCUGAAUUAUUCCCUGUUGAUUAUUCUCUGACAAUGAAAUAGUAAUUAUCAGUGCAAUUGGUGAAAUGAAGGAUAACAAAAAAUAUUCAGACUCUGAAGCAGGUUGUAAAGUAUUUACCUAAAAUUGAGACCUUGUGGCUACAUAACAUUUCAGCAAAUGUAACAUGCUGCAGAUAUUAGUACUCUAAAAACAUGAUGCCAGUAAAUCAAGCAAGAUUUUAUUUU
rnacentral:lncRNA from 7 species